GACGAACGCUGGCGGCGUGCUUAACACAUGCAAGUCGAACGGAAAGGCCCUGCUUUUGUGGGGUGCUCGAGUGGCGAACGGGUGAGUAACACGUGAGUAACCUGCCCUUGACUUUGGGAUAACUUCAGGAAACUGGGGCUAAUACCGGAUAGGAGCUCCUGCUGCAUGGUGGGGGUUGGAAAGUUUCGGCGGUUGGGGAUGGACUCGCGGCUUAUCAGCUUGUUGGUGGGGUAGUGGCUUACCAAGGCUUUGACGGGUAGCCGGCCUGAGAGGGUGACCGGCCACAUGGGGCAUGGGGUACGGCCCAGACCCCUACGGGGGGGAGGAGGGGGGAAUAUUGCACAAUGGGCGGAAGCCUGAUGGAGAACCGCCGGGGGGGGGAGGACGGCCUUGGGGGUGUAAACCGCUUUCGCCUGUGACGAAGCGUGAGUGACGGUAAUGGGUAAAGAAGCACCGGCAAACUACGU
rnacentral:rRNA from 1 species